rnacentral:rRNA from 1 species
GAUGAACGCUGGCGGCGUGCCUAAUACAUGCCAGUCGAGCGAACGGACGAGAAGCUUGCUUCUCUGAUGUUAGCGGCGGACGGGUGAGUAACACGUGGAUAACCUACCUAUAAGACUGGGAUAACUUCGGGAAACCGGAGCUAAUACCGGAUAAUAUUUUGAACCUCAUGGUUCAAAAGUGAAAGACGGUCUUGCUGUCACUUAUAGAUGGAUCCGCGCUGCAUUAGCUAGUUGGUAAGGUAACGGCUUACCAAGGCAACGAUGCAUAGCCGACCUGAGAGGGUGAUCGGCCACACUGGAACUGAGACACGGUCCAGACUCCUACGGGAGGCAGCAGUAGGGAAUCUUCCGCAAUGGGCGAAAGCCUGACGGAGCAACGCCGCGUGAGUGAUGAAGGUCUUCGGAUCGUAAAACUCUGUUAUUAGGGAAGAACAUAUGUGUAAGUAACUGUGCACAUCUUGACGGUACCUAAUCAGAAAGCCACGGCUAACUACGUG